rnacentral:rRNA from 1 species
ACGAACGCUGGCGGCGUGCCUAACACAUGCAAGUCGAGCGGAGACAGUGAGUAGCUUGCUAUGAGCUGUUUUAGCGGCGGACGGGUGAGUAACGCGUGAGCAACCUUUCCCAGACAGGGGAAUAACACACCGAAAGGUGUACUAAUACCGCAUAAGACCACGGGAUCACAUGGUUCUGAGGUAAAAGAUUUAUCGGUUUGGGGUGGGCUCGCGUCCGAUUAGGUAGUUGGUGAGGUAACGGCCCACCAAGCCGACGAUCGGUAGCCGACCUGAGAGGGUGAUCGGCCACAUUGGGACUGAGACACGGCCCAAACUCCUACGGGAGGCAGCAGUGGGGAAUAUUGGGCAAUGGGGGGAACCCUGACCCAGCAACGCCGCGUGGAGGAAGAAGGUUUUCGGAUCGUAAACUCCUGUCCUUGGAGACGAGUAGAAGACGGUAUCCAAGGAGGAAGCCCCGGCUAACUACGUGCCAGCAGCCGCGGUAAUACGUAGGGGGCAAGCGUUGUCCGGAAUAAUUGGGCGUAAAGGGCGCGUAGGCGGCUCGGUAAGUCUGGAGUGAAAGUCCUGCUUUUAAGGUGGGAAUUGCUUUGGAUACUGUCGGGCUUGAGUGCAGGAGAGGUUAGUGGAAUUCCCAGUGUAGCGGUGAAAUGCGUAGAGAUUGGGAGGAACACCAGUGGCGAAGGCGACUAACUGGACUGUAACUGACGCUGAGGCGCGAAAGUGUGGGGAGCAAACAGGAUUAGAUACCCUGGUAGUCCACACUGUAAACGAUGAAUGCUAGGUGUAGGGGGUAUCGACCCCUUCUGUGCCGCAGUCAACACAAUAAGCAUUCCGCCUGGGGAGUACGGCCGCAAGGUUGAAACUCAAAGGAAUUGACGGGGGCCCGCACAAGCAGCGGAGCAUGUGGUUUAAUUCGACGCAACGCGAAGAACCUUACCAGGUCUUGACAUCCUUCUGACCGGCCUAGAGAUAGGCUUUCUCUUCGGAGCAGAAGUGACAGGUGGUGCAUGGUUGUCGUCAGCUCGUGUCGUGAGAUGUUGGGUUAAGUCCCGCAACGAGCGCAACCCUUAUCUUUAGUAGCCAGCAGUAAGAUGGGCACUCUAGAGAGACUGCCGGGGAUAACCCGGAGGAAGGUGGGGAUGACGUCAAAUCAUCAUGCCCCUUAUGACCAGGGCUACACACGUGCUACAAUGGCGUAAACAAAGAGAAGCGAAGUAGUGAGGCAGAGCGAAUCUCAAAAAUAACGUCUCAGUUCGGAUUGUAGUCUGCAACUCGACUACAUGAAGCUGGAAUCGCUAGUAAUCGUAGAUCAGCAUGCCGCGGUGAAUACGUUCCCGGGCCUUGUACACACCGCCCGUCACACCAUGAGAGUUUGUAACACCCAAAGUCGGUGGGGUAACCUUUUAGGAGCCAGCCGCCUAAGGUGGGACAGAUGAUUAGGGUG